ACCCCUCUGGUGUAUCGGUUAACAUAGUGGAUUCUCAUUCCGCGGCGCAGGGUUCGACUCCCUGGGGGGGUA